rnacentral:rRNA from 1 species
CACGUAGGGGCGAGCGUUGUCCGGAUUAUUGGGCGUAAAGAGCUCGUAGGCGGUUCGUUAGUCGGGUGUGAAACCCAGGCUCAACCUGGGACGCCACCCGAUACUGCGAUGACUAGAGUCCGGUAGGGGAGUGUGGAAUUCCUGGUGGUAGCGGUGAAAUGCGCAGAUAUCAGGAGGAACACCAACGGCGAAGGCAGCACUCUGGGCCGGAACUGACGCUGAGGAGCGAAAGCGUGGGUAGCGAACAGG